UACAGGGGGUGCAAACGUUGCUCGGAAUCAUUGGGCGUAAAGCGUGCGCAGGCGGUUCGCCAAGUCAGGUGCGAAAUCCCCGGGCUUAACCUGGGAAUUGCGCUUGAAACUAGCGGGCUUGAGUGUGGCAGAGGGGGGUGGAAUUCCACGUGUAGCAGUGAAAUGCGUAGAGAUGUGGAGGAACACCGAUGGCGAAGGCAGCCCCCUGGGUCAACACUGACGCUCAUGCACGAAAGCGUGGGGAGCAAACAGG
rnacentral:rRNA from 1 species